rnacentral:lncRNA from 1 species
AUGGAAAGGGCUGAUUCAAAAUCUGUGGGUACAGAACCUGCAGAUUUCAAAGAGUCCGGUGGGCUAAGUCAAGGCACUUGCACUAGUUCCUCGUCUCUAGACAGUAUUUAUAAUGAGCCCACUAAAUCAAAGCUAGAUGUUAAAAUGGCUAGCGAGUCUGUACGGACGAAACUUGGUAUCAAGUCUCCUGAAUACAAGCAUUCCGAAGGGGUGUAUCAUGAAUCGAUCAGAUCCAAAAUUGAUAUCAAACCUGUGGAAAGGGUGGCUUCUGAACCAGUCCGGACAAAGAUAGAUAUUAAGCCAUCAGCUGAUUGUAGACCAAAAAUCGACAUAAUCCCAUCAAACUACAAACAAAUGGAUAAAGUCUACUAUGAGUCCGUUCGUUCAAAAGUUGAUGUGAAAGCAUCAGACUUUAAGCAAACAGAUUCCGCUAGACCAAAAAUGGAGAUAAAGCAGUCGGAACCUGCCAGGCAAAAAAUAGAUAUGAAAGCCUCUGAAUACAGACCUUUGGAUAAAAUGAAAAAUUUGUCAUAUUCUCAGAGUCAAGCAAUUUACCCUCCAGUCAAUGAGCGUCCAAGUGGAUCUCAAGGAGUUGAUAAAUCAAAAUUCCCCUCGCUCCCUAACAUAUCUUUCAAUCCGGUCAACACAUCACAGAAAAACUAUCGGCCCACAUCUCAUCAGCGGUCCACGCCGGCAAUGAACAGUACCUAUCGCAAUGAUAUGAACCGGACGCCGGAAACAUCACCUGCUCUAGAUUUUAAGAAACCGACCUCCACAACCACAUUCAACUCUGCCACUUACUCUGGUGGCGUCGUAUCAGAUCUGCAACAAAUGCCGCAACAGUAUAAAAACCCCUCGCCGUAUUCAUCCUCAGAGAAACCGCCUCUCACCAAAGAUACUGCUUUUCAGAAUUUGAAACAAAGGGGAUCGAUUAGUAUUAUUCCGAUGGACAAGGGGCCCAAGCCUGCUCAGACCUCUCUUCACAGCCAAACCCAUCAGAUAACGUCGGGUACAAAUCAGGCAUCACAACUCCCUCUCAAUCCGGAGUAUGAUUAUCGGUCCAUGGACGCAGGUGUUGAAUCGUUCUCUUCACCCGCUUACAGAUCAGAUUAUUACUCGGACUACAGUCAGCCGGUUUCAUCAGCCCCUGCCUCAAACCCACAGAUCUACUCACACCCUAGUGAACGGUCCUCUAUGCAGUCGCAUUCUGGGUCGUAUGACAUGUACCAGCAGCCAUACUCAAGUGGAAAUGUUGAUAGCUCAGGGGGUAAUGUCGGUAGUUACGGCUCAACUGCGUACAACCAGACUUCUUACGAUCCCUCUGCAAUGAAUCAGCAAAUGAACCAACAAAUGUACAGUGCCUUUCAUAGGCCGGAGCCUAUUUACCCCUCCCCACCGUCUGGUUCCUAUCAGAACGCAGCUAAUUCCUAUCAGUACGACCCAUACUAUACUCCAUAUCCUGGUGCUCCUGAUAAUUCUUCUUUGCCAAACCCACAAAGACCACAAUGA